UACGGAGGGUGCAAGCGUUAAUCGGAAUUACUGGGCGUAAAGCGUGCGUAGGUGGUUCGUUAAGUCCGUUGUGAAAGCCCGAGCUCAACUUGGGAAUUGCAGUGGAUACUGGCGAGCUGGAGUGCGGUAGAGGAAGGUGGAAUUCCCGGUGUAGCGGUGAAAUGCGUUGAGAUCGGAAGGAACGCCCGUGGCGAAAGCGAGCUCCUGGACCUUUUCUGACACUGAGACGCGAAAGCUAGGGGAGCGAACGGG
rnacentral:rRNA from 1 species